CCCCCAAAUCAGGUGCAUGCCGACUUAAGGAAGUGCUUCCAAGCAAAUGUGAGUGCUGAAGUUGCUGAAUCAAUCAGGAUAAUGUAUGGAGGUUUUGUUAGCAGUGCAAACUGCAAAGAACUAGCAGCAAAGCCUGAUGUAAAUGGAUUCCUCGUCAGUGGACCUUCUUUGAAGCCGGAGUUCAUCGACAUCAUCAAAUCCGCGACUGUGAAAUCAUCUACCUAGAGUGCCACUCUUAAUGUUCAUUAUAUGAAUUUCUGGGGAAGAGACCUUGUUUUCUGUGAUCAAAAUAAUCUAAUUAAAAUUUUUGUUAUGCAAAUGUUAUCGGCCUGGAUCUUGUUUGUUCCCUAGCAACAAGGCUGCAAUACUGAAUUUUAAUGUUGCAUGUGGAAUGGAGUUUUAAUGUUGUUUUGAUACAAGUGUUUGUAUAGUUAUACUACAUGAUUUCCAAUGUAUAUAUAGGGCAUCUA